CCAGUGUUGUGGCGGCCCGUACCCUAAACCGACUCAGGUGGUCAGGUAGAGAAUACCAAGGCGAUCGGGUGAACUGUGGUUAAGGAACUCGGCAAAUUGCCCCCGUAACUUCGGGAGAAGGGGGACCUCUGCUGGUGAUGGGCUUUACGUUCUGAGCUGGUGGGGGUCGCAGUGGCCAGGGGGAAGCGACUGUUUACUAAAAACACAGGUCCGUGCGAAGUCGUAAGACGAUGUAUACGGACUGACGCCUGCCCGGUGCCGGAACGUUAAGGGGACCGCUUAGCCAACGCGAGUUGGCGAAGGUGAGAACUUAAGCGCCGGUAAACGGCGGUGGUAACUAUAACCAUCCUAAGGUAGCGAAAUUCCUUGUCGGGUAAGUUCCGACCUGCACGAAUGGCGUAACGACUUCCCCGCUGUCUCAACCACAGACCCGGCGAAAUUGCACUACGAGUAAAGAUGCUCGUUUCGCGCAGCAGGACGGAAAGACCCCGGGACCUUCACUACAGCUUGACAUUGGCGUUUGGAACGUCUUGUGUAGGAUAGGUGGGAGACUGGGAAGCUGUCACGCUAGUGAUGGUGGAGUCAUUGGUGAAAUACCACUCUGGUCGUUUUGAACGUCUAACUCUGGUCCGUGAUCCGGAUCGGGGACAGUGUCUGGUGGGUAGUUUAACUGGGGCGGUUGCCUCCUAAAGAGUAACGGAGGCGCCCAAAGGUUCCCUCAGCCUGGUUGGCAAUCAGGUGUUGAGUGUAAGUGCACAAGGGAGCUUGACUGUGAGACUGACAGGUCGAGCAGGAGCGAAAGCUGGGACUAGUGAUCCGGCAUCGGCGUGUGGAAGCGGUGUCGCUCAACGGCUAAAAGGUACCCCGGGGAUAACAGGCUGAUCUUCCCCAAGAGUCCAUAUCGACGGGAUGGUUUGGCACCUCGAUGUCGGCUCGUCGCAUCCUGGGGCUGGAGUAGUCCCAAGGGUUGGGCUGUUCGCCCAUUAAAGCGGUACGCGAGCUGGGUUUAGAACGUCGCGAGACAGUUCGGUCCCUAUCCGCUGCGCGCGCAGGAGACUUGAAGGGGGCUGUCCCUAGUACGAGAGGACCGGGACGGACGAACCUCUGGUGUGCCAGUUGUACCGCCAGGUGCACGGCUGGUUGGCUACGUUCGGAAGGGAUAACCGCUGAAAGCAUCUAAGCGGGAAGCUCGCCUUGAGAUGAGGUCUCCCACCCCGUGAGGGGGUAAGGCUCCCGGUAGAUCACCGGGUUGAUAGGCCGGAGGUGGAAGCACGGUAACGUGUGGAGCUGACCGGUACUAAUAGGCCGAGGACUUGAGCAA
rnacentral:rRNA from 1 species